rnacentral:rRNA from 1 species
GACGAACGCUGGCGGCGUGCCUAAUACAUGCAAGUAGAACGCUGAAGGAGGAGCUUGCUUCUCUGGAUGAGUUGCGAACGGGUGAGUAACGCGUAGGUAACCUGCCUGGUAGCGGGGGAUAACUAUUGGAAACGAUAGCUAAUACCGCAUAAUAGUAGAUGUUGCAUGACAUUUGCUUAAAAGGUGCAAUUGCAUCACUACCAGAUGGACCUGCGUUGUAUUAGCUAGUUGGUGGGGUAACGGCUCACCAAGGCGACGAUACAUAGCCGACCUGGGAGGGUGAUCGGCCACACUGGGACUGAGACACGGCCCAGACUCCUACGGGAGGCAGCAGUAGGGAAUCUUCGGCAAUGGACGGAAGUCUGACCGAGCAACGCCGCGUGAGUGAAGAAGGUUUUCGGAUCGUAAAGCUCUGUUGUAAGAGAAGAACGAGUGUGAGAGUGGAAAGUUCACACUGUGACGGUAGCUUACCAGAAAGGGACGGCUAACUACGUG